GCCUGGGUGGCUCAGUCGGUUGAGCGUCCGACUUCCGCUCAGGUCACGAUCUCACGGUUUGUGAGUUCGAGCCCCGCGUCAGGCU
rnacentral:tRNA from 1 species